rnacentral:rRNA from 1 species
UACGUAGGGUGCGAGCGUUAAUCGGAAUUACUGGGCGUAAAGCGUGCGCAGGCGGUUCGUUGUGUCGGUGGUGAAAGCCCCGGGCUUAACCUGGGAAUGGCCAUGGAAACUGGCGAACUGGAGUGUGGCAGAGGGGGGUGGAAUUCCGCGUGUAGCAGUGAAAUGCGUAGAGAUGCGGAGGAACACCGAUGGCGAAGGCGGCGUCCUGGCUCGCAUCUGACGCUCAGACACGACAGCAUGGGGAGCGAACGGG